rnacentral:rRNA from 1 species
GACGAACGCUGGCGGCGUGCCUAAUACAUGCAAGUCGAACGCACUCUCGUUUAGAUUGAAGGAGUUUGCUCCUGAUUGAUAAACAUUUGAGUGAGUGGCUGACGGGUGAGUAACACGUGGGUAACCUGCCCUAAAGUGGGGGAUAACAUUUGGAGACAGAUGCUAAUACCGCAUAAAACCUAACACCGCAUGGUGUAGGGUUGAAAGAUGGUUUCGGCUAUCACUUUAGGAUGGACCCGCGGUGCAUUAGUUAGUUGGUGAGGUAAAGGCUCACCAAGACCGUGAUGCAUAGCCGACCUGAGAGGGUAAUCGGCCACACUGGGACUGAGACACGGCCCAGACUCCUACGGGAGGCAGCAGUAGGGAAUCUUCCACAAUGGACGAAAGUCUGAUGGAGCAACGCCGCGUGAGUGAAGAAGGUUUUCGGAUCGUAAAACUCUGUUGUUGGAGAAGAAUGUAUCUGAUAGUAACUGAUCAGGUAGUGACGGUAUCCAACCAGAAAGCCACGGCUAACUACGUG